GACGAACGCUGGCGGCGUGCUUAACACAUGCAAGUCGAACGGAAAGGCCCUGCUUUUGUGGGGUGCUCGAGUGGCGAACGGGUGAGUAACACGUGAGUAACCUGCCCUUGACUUUGGGAUAACUUCAGGAAACUGGGGCUAAUACCGGAUAGGAGCUCCUGCUGCAUGGUGGGGGUGGGAAAGUUUCGGCGGUUGGGGAUGGACUCGCGGCUUAUCAGCUUGGUGGUGGGGUAGUGGCUUACCAAGGCUUUGACGGGUAGCCGGCCUGAGAGGGUGACCGGCCACAUUGGGACUGAGAUACGGCCCAGACUCCUACGGGAGGCAGCAGUGGGGAAUAUUGCACAAUGGGCGGAAGCCUGAUGCAGCAACGCCGCGUGCGGGAUGACGGCCUUCGGGUUGUAAACCGCUUUCGCCUGUGACGAAGCGUGAGUGACGGUAAUGGGUAAAGAAGCACCGGCUAACUACGUG
rnacentral:rRNA from 1 species